rnacentral:pre_miRNA from 11 species
UUUCAAGUCAGUGUGGUGCUGCGAGUGAAAGACCCCCAGAGUGGGGAGACCCUCACUCAAGUCUCGGGAUAAGCUGACGCCCCAGUUAUUCAAGAGAGACC